GAAGUGAAGAGAGGAACUGGAGAAUGGGUCGAUGCUUGAUUAUAUAUGGCUUUCUCAGGGCUGUAGCUUUCUUGGUGAUGACGGUUGCUCGAAGUUGGAAGUGAAACUGCAGAUUAAAGGCCGUGAUCGAAACUGUUACGAGGAGCAAUUUCUUUGGAGCACAGUAGGUUUGGUUUCAGUCUCGUGUCCGAUACGCAUUCUUUUCCUUCAAACUGGACUCACUCCUAUCAGCAGUUGAAGAGAAAGUCCCAGGAGCAUCAGUUUGCUGAAAUCAGUUUAGGUGGCUGGAUGUUAGUACAUGACUGAAGUGUGUAUGCCAAUUUGGGUAUUGCCGACCGAUUUGAAUCAAGUUACUGACACACAGGUCAUUGCACUACGUGUGAUGCCUUGAGAUAAAUGGCUUUGUAUUGUGAGUGGCCUUAGGCAUCACGUUUUCUAAUGUAAUAUUUUUCAUGUACUUGGUAUAAC